UUUCUCUUGGACCCUUUGCUCUGGGGAAACCAGCUGCUACAUCACCAUCAGCCUUGUGACCAUGCCACAUGGUAAGGAGCUGAAAUCUCAGCAGCCACAUGAGUGAGCUCGGCAGCGGAUCCUUUAGGCCCCGUCAUGCAAUCCUGGAUUGCAGCCCUGGACAUCCACUUAACUAGCAAGACUGAGCCAGAACCACCCAGAUGAGCUGCUCCUGGAUUCCCAACUCUCAAAAACUGUGAGAGAUGUUCAACGGUGGUUGUUUGAAACUGCUGAGUCUCAGUAUAAUUUGUUACACAGCACUAGCUAACUCAUACACGUCACGUUUCUGCAGCAGAAUACCUUGGACCUGGGGAGAGCUGGAGAUAAUUACUCAGUACCACCCAGUACAUGGGAAAGUGAUUACUGACAGGCUCAGAAAUGUUAAGAAGAUGCUUAAAAGAAAUGGGCUCAUGAGCCUUCUUUGCUGAAGUAUUAAUUACUAGAUCUGAAUGUUUUGCUUUUCUGUGAUGGAAAACGUGAAGAAAAUAGGGCUUUUUUUUUUCUUUUGAAGAGAUGGGAUUUCCCUCUGUCGCUUAGGCUUAACUGCAGUGAUUCAGUCAUAGCUCACGGCAGCCUCAAACUCCUGGACUCAAGCAAAUGACUGAUAUUUUUUGAGCACCAGCAGUAACGAUAGUUACUAUUCACUGUUUUCUCCCUGCCAGGUGUUCCACAGACAUCCUACAUGCAUGACAUUGAUUCACUCUUACAUUUGACAGGAAUCACUUAAUUCUGAAAGUCUUCUGAGAAGACAUAGCAAGAAGUGGAGUCAAGCACACAUCAUGAUGGCAGAGAAAGGAAGGUGGGGGGCUACUCCAUAGAUUUCUGAGACUGACCUUCUUUCCUACGAAGCUUUACUCUCUACACUCAUAGUCAGUGAAUGACAAGUGGUAUAUCUGGUUCAUUCCUGGGCAUGAAUGAAAAGAGAACAAACAAAUCCAUUUUCUGGGUAAGAACAGUAACAGCUCCCAUUUGAAUGUUGUCUUAACAGUUUAUAAAACAUCUUCAAGUACAAGCUCUCACUGAAUCUUCACUGCAAACCUGUGAAGUGGGUAAGGAUAUUUCUGUCAUCGAACAGAUAAGGAAAUAGAGGCUCAGAGAAGUCAAGAAACUGGCCCAGGGUUACACAGCUCAGAAGUGGAGAGCGAAGUCUUGAAUUGGGGUUUUGUGGUGCUUCAUCUAUGAGCUUUCAAUUUCAGCCAUCAUGGGUUGUAGCUUCUCUGCUCCGUGUUUGAUCUUUGCUCCACGUGGGUAUCUCUGGCUGUUGCCAUGGGUCUGAAGAACAUGCGCAUGGUCACGUAGGACAACCACAGUCUUCAACAGAAAGCGCCAUCUCUCUGCUUCAUGCCCGUGGUUGAUUUUAUACCUGUAGCAAGGACACUUUCCUAUUCUAGGGCUGCUGAGCCAUGGCAACCUUGAAAGGUUAUAAUACCACAGUACGAACGAUUUCCAAAUGUCCCUUGUCAACGCCCAGCACAGCCCUAAUACCUGGAGAAGUGAAGAAGGUUCCAGAGGAGGAAAGAAAGCCUUUGAAUCAUUUUGUCAGGCACAUGUCACUCCACUUGAAUUAUUUUUCAUGAAGGUGAAUGCUUUUCAAUCGUCCAAGGCAGGGGUCCAUCACUUUCAAGCGCACUUGAUGUGUUGCUGUUUUAAAAAUUAAAUACGCAGAGUUUGCAGAAUGG
ensembl:lncRNA novel transcript, sense intronic to C16orf95